GGUGUUAGUGCUCCUAACAGUUAGAUGGAGGUUAUCAGUUAGAUGGAGUAUCGUUUAGAUGGAGGUUAUCAGUUAGAUGGAGAUGUUUCCUACAGUUAGAUGGAGGUAUCAGUUAGAUGGAGGUAUCAGUUAGAUGGAGGUGUUUCCUACAGUUAGAUGGAGGUAUCAGUUAGAUGGAGGUAUCAGUUAGAUGGAGGUGUUUCCCUACAGUUCGAGGAGGUAUCAGUUAGAUGGAGGUAUCAGUUAGAUGAGGUGUUUUCUCUACAGUUAGAUGGAGGUAUUUCCCUACGUUAGAUGGAGGUAUCAGUUAGAUGGAGGUGUUUCCUACAUUCUGGGUAUCAGUUAGAUGGAGGUUAGUUAGUGGAGGUAUACAGUUAGAGGAGGUAUCAGUUAGAUGCAGGUUUCCCUACAGUUGAUGGAGGUAUCAGUUAAGAUGCGAGGUAUCAGUUAGAUGGAAGUAUCAGUUAGAUGGAGGUGUUUCCCUACAGUUAGAUAGAGGUAUCAGUUAGAUGGAGGUAUCAGUUAGUGGAGGUAUCAGUUAGAUGGAGGUGUUUCCUACAGUUAAAUGGAGGUGUUUCCCUACAGUUAGAUGGAGGAUUUCCCUAGUUAGAUGGAGGUAUCAGUUAGAUGGAGGUAGCAGUUAGAUGGAGGUAGAAGUUAGAUGGAGGUAUCAGUUAGAUGAGGCAUCAGUUAGAUGUAGGUGUUUCCUACAGUUGAUGGGGUAUCAGUUAGAUGGAGGUAUCGUUAGAUGGUGUCUAUCAGUUAGGUGAGGUAUGCAGUUAGAUGGAGGUAUCAGUUAGGUGGAGGUGUUUCCUACAGUUGAUGGAGGUAUAGUUAGAUGGAUGUAUCAGUUAGAUGGAGGUAUCAUUUAGAUGAGGUAUCAGUUAGAUGGAGGUGUUUCCUACAGUUAGUGGAGGUAUUCAGUUAGAGGGAGGUAUCAGUUAGAUGGAGGUGUUUCCUUCAGUUAGAUGGAGUACGUUAGAUGGAGGUGUUUCCUACAGUUAGAUGGAGGUAUCAGUUAGAUGGAGGUGUUCCACAUUAGAUGGAGUAUCAGUUGUGGAGUAUCAGUUAGAUUGGAGCUACAGUAGUGGGUGUUUCCCUACAGUUAGAUGGAGGUAUCAGUGAUGGCGGUACAGUUAGAUGGAGUAUCAGUUAGAUGGAGGUAUACACCUCCAUCUAACUGAUACCUCCAUCUAACUGUAGGGAAACACCUCCAUCUAACUGAUACCUCCAUCUAACUGUAGGAAAUACCUCCAUCUAACUGUAGGAAACACCUCCAUCUAACUA
ensembl:lncRNA